rnacentral:rRNA from 1 species
UACGUAGGGGGCGAGCGUUGUCCGGAUUUAUUGGGCGUAAAGAGCUCGCAGGUGGUUCGAUAAGUCGGGUGUGAAAACUCUGGGCUUAACUCAGAGACGCCACCCGAUACUGUCGUGACUUGAGUCUGGUAGGGGAGUGUGGAAUUCCCGGUGUAGCGGUGAAAUGCGCAGAUAUCGGGAGGAACACCAGUGGCGAAGGCGGCACUCUGGGCCAGUACUGACACUGAGGAGCGAAAGCGUGGGUAGCGAACAGG